GCAGAUUACACGAGCACCUCCUCCCCCAACCCCAGGCGGCCCUGCUCCCCAGGCCUCGGCCUGCGCGGACCCCUGGGUGCCCCGGGUUCGGGAGCAGCCGGGGAGAGCUGGGCCAGGGCGCACACCCCGUCGGGGCUGCGGUGUGGGGCCCAAGAGUCCUCGGUGCUGGGCCCCUGGGGAGGCUGGAGCCCUCCAAGGCCGGGAGCCUCCAGGAGCGGAGCGCGCUGCCCCGCAGCCCUGGGCCCUCUGUUUUCCGCGUCCUUUCACUAGGGUCCAUGCUGGUUAGUGGCCGAUUUGCAGGGAAUCUGGGCACAAUCUUAAUAACACCGGGGCCAAAAAUAACGUUCCUGGAAACCAGAGCAGGAGUAAUGAAAGCAAGAAGCCGUUUCAUCAUCCAGGGAAGAGGAGGAACAAUAUUUUUCUCUUUGGAAUUCCCAGAUUCUGAAAACACCAGCCUACGAACACAGAGUGUCCCCUGAAGUAGGAAACGCCCUAUCCAGUCAUUGGUGAAGAAACGGAGGCACGGGGGGAUUAAGAGAGCUCCUCAAGAAGACACAGCACCAGGUCGCUACCCAGGCCAUUUGGAUCUAGGGUCUGGAGGCCACGUGCACCAUUUUGCAUUAGAUUAACACUUUACUUCAGUUCACAGUUAGCCAAUACACGUUCCCCAUCUGUGUCUAUACCCAUCUGGAAGGCAUCAUGAAAGAUGGUAAACCGAUAGUGUUGUGUGCCCAUGACCCAGCUAACAAAGAGGCUCUGGGUUGCAGCGCCCCAAUUUUUCGUGGGAUUCCACCCACCUGACGCCCCGCUCCCCACAGAGGUGGGAUCUCAUUCUGUCGCCCAGGCUUGGAGUACAGUGACCCCAUCUGGAUUCACCGCAGCCUUGAACUCCUGGGCUCAAGCGAUCCUCCUGCCUCAGCCUCCUGAGUUGCUGCGACCACAAAUAUUUAUCCAUUUUACUGCUAAUGGAAUUUGAGCUGUUUUCAACUUUUUCCUGUUGAAACGUUAUUGCUAUGAACAUUCUUAUAAAAGCUUUCCAAUGCACGUAUGCAAGAUCUUUCUAGUGUUUAUGCUAGCAGGAGAAUUACUGAUUAGUGUCAUACAUAUAUCUUCAAUCUUAUUAGAUAACACUGACUUGUUUUUGAAACUGGCUCUUCCAAUUUACACUGUCAAUGGCCGGCCUAUCGAGGUUGCCCUGUAAGUUCAACACCAUUUGCUAUCGUCAGACUUUAACAGUUUUGUCAAUCUGGUUGGUAUAAAAUGGCACGGCGUGGUGCUUUUUAUUUGCAUUUCCAUGAUUACUAAUGAGGUUGAGCAUAUUUUCAUAUGUUUAUGGGCCAUUUACUUUUCCUCUUCUAUGAAAUUACUAUUCAAGCCCUUUGCCCGUUUUUCUGUUAUGUUGUUUGUCUUUUUCUUAUUGAGGUGGAGGAGUUCACUGCAGUCUGAAUACGAAUCAUUUUUCAGUUAUGUGCAUUGAACGUAUCUUCCAUCAGCGUGUGGUUCUUUCCACUUUUGAAAAUGGCAUUGUUUGAUGGACGAGUGUCAAUUUCCAUGUGUCAAAU